rnacentral:rRNA from 1 species
AUUGAACGCUGGCGGCAUGCCUUACACAUGCAAGUCGAACGGCAGCACGGGUGCUUGCACCUGGUGGCGAGUGGCGAACGGGUGAGUAAUGUAUCGGAACGUACCUUUCAGUGGGGGAUAACUAUCCGAAAGGAUAGCUAAUACCGCAUAUUCUGUGAGCAGGAAAGCAGGGGAUCGCAAGACCUUGCGCUGAUUGAGCGGCCGAUAUCAGAUUAGCUAGUUGGUGGGGUAAAGGCCUACCAAGGCUACGAUCUGUAGCGGGUCUGAGAGGAUGAUCCGCCACACUGGAACUGAGACACGGUCCAGACUCCUACGGGAGGCAGCAGUGGGGAAUUUUGGACAAUGGGGGCAACCCUGAUCCAGCCAUGCCGCGUGAGUGAAGAAGGCCUUCGGGUUGUAAAGCUCUUUCGGACGGGAAGAAAUCGCAUCGGCUAAUACCUGGUGCGGAUGACGGUACCGUAAUAAGAAGCACCGGCUAACUACGUGCCAGCAGCCGCAGUAA